rnacentral:rRNA from 1 species
CUACUUUGCUGACGAGCGGCGGACGGGUGAGUAAUGCUUGGGAACAUGCCUUGAGGUGGGGGACAACAGUUGGAAACGACUGCUAAUACCGCAUAAUGUCUACGGACCAAAGGGGGCUUCGGCUCUCGCCUUUAGAUUGGCCCAAGUGGGAUUAGCUAGUUGGUGAGGUAAUGGCUCACCAAGGCAACGAUCCCUAGCUGGUUUGAGAGGAUGAUCAGCCACGCUGGGACUGAGACACGGCCCACACUCCUACGGGAGGCAGCAGUGGGGAAUAUUGCACAAUGGGCGCAAGCCUGAUGCAGCCAUGCCGCGUGUGUGAAGAAGGCCUUCGGGUUGUAAAGCACUUUCAGUCAGGAGGAAAGGUUAGUAGUUAAUACCUGCUAGCUGUGACGUUACUGACAGAAGAAGCACCGGCUAACUCCGUGCCAGCAGCCGCGGUAAUACGGAGGGUGCGAGCGUUAAUCGGAAUUACUGGGCGUAAAGCGUACGCAGGCGGUUUGUUAAGCGAGAUGUGAAAGCCCCGGGCUCAACCUGGGAACUGCAUUUCGAACUGGCAAACUAGAGUGUGAUAGAGGGUGGUAGAAUUUCAAGUGUAGCGGUGAAAUGCGUAGAGAUCUGAAGGAAUACCGAUGGCGAAGGCAGCCACCUGGGUCAACACUGACGCUCAUGUACGAAAGCGUGGGGAGCAAACAAGGGAUUAGAUACCCUGGUAGUCCACGCCGUAAACGAUGUCUACUAUAAGCUCGGAGCCUCGGCUCUGUUUUUCAAGCUAACGCAUUAAGUAGACCGCCUGGGGAGUACGGCCGCAAGGUUAAAACUCAAAUGAAUUGACGGGGGCCGCACAAGCGGUGGAGCAUGUGGUUUAAUUCGAUGCAACGCGAAGAACCUUACCUACACUUGACAUACAGAGAACUUACCAGAGAUGGUUUGGUGCCUUCGGGAACUCUGAUACAGGUGCUGCAUGGCUGUCGUCAGCUCGUGUUGUGAGAUGUUGGGUUAAGUGCCGCAACGAGCGCAACCCCUAUCCUUAGUUGCUAGCAGGUAAUGCUGAGAACCUUCUAAGGAGACUGCCGGUGAUAAACCGGAGGAAGGUGGGGACGACGUCAAGUCAUCAUGGCCCUUACGUGUAGGGCUACACACGUGCUACAAUGGCGCAUACAGAGUGCUGCGAACUCGCGAGAGUAAGCGAAUCACUUAAAGUGCGUCGUAGUCCGGAUUGGAGUCUGCAACUCGACUUCCAUGAAGUCGGAAUCGCUAGUAAUCGCGUAUCAGAAUGANGCGGUGAAUACGUUCCCGGGCCUUGUACCAA